AGGUUACCCGAGCAACUUUGCAUCUAGACGACGAAUGUUGCUCGGUGAACCCCU
rnacentral:pre_miRNA from 1 species